CCACACGCUUGAGCGCAUUCUGAAAACCUAUUCCGCUUUCGUCGUCAGGGCGCUCCUGUGGUUCUUCCUUUGCGCUGCGUUGCGGGCCCUCCCCUCCGCCUCCGCCUCCCUCUCCCCUCCGCUGUCGCUUCCUCUGUCCUUUUCGUACCCUUUCACGCACGUUUUGCACCGCCUCGCCUCUGCGCUCUGCGCGAAGUACGCAACGUACGGCAGAAAGCAAAACCUUCGCCACACGCGCUGCCACUCACACGCUGAUAGGCGGCGGUGCGGCAACGUAUGACGGCCUCCUUCUUGUACCCCAAACAAACAAACCCGCCCGCGGAGAUGUCUUUCCACACGCCUCCCCCCCUGCCCAUGCGCCACCUCCGCGUGUGGCGACUUCACACCAAUCCACGCACACGCUCUCUCAAGCUGGUGGAGAACAUCAUCGGGGGGGGGGGCUCUUUUGACGUGCCACGAGCCACACGCGCUCUCCUUCAUGUAAGGGAAGCGGCGUUUUUCGGUGUUGGACGAACGCGGCCUCGCAUGCCCACAGCGGGGGCUUGAAUUAACCGCGAACGCUCGCUGAUCUUUCUGAUGAGCAGCUGAGCGGUGGGGUCUGUGCAUACCACGCGCCAUCGCUCGACUGUUCGCAUGUGACGUGUGCUCUCAGACUGCGUGUCUUGCAUGAGCGCGUAUGGGUUCGGGUGCCGUGGCCGACUCUGCGCACCACCGCCCACCUUGUAUGCAGUGUGCUUCUUUCCCGUACUCUACGCUGAAGGCUGAUUUCUUUCUGAGAUGAGACGGAGGAGAAUGCACCCUUCCUGUCUUGAAUACAACAGGCAGACGUACCGCACAGACACUCAUCUGUGAGGGUGUGUGCCGUUCGUCCACUGAGGUAGAAUGCAUCGCGGCAUGGACUUCUCCGCACGCAAAGACACACCGAGGCAUAGAGAGAGGCAGAGGAGCACAGGAGACAUGGGGUAUACAAGGAAGAAGUGCUCCUGUAUACCCUUCCUCUGUUCCUCGUACAUGCACGCUCCCCUACAUCCUCUCUCGACAUACGCA
rnacentral:misc_RNA from 1 species